rnacentral:rRNA from 1 species
UACGGGGGGGGCGAGCGUUGUUCGGAAUCACUGGGCGUAAAGGGCGCGUAGGCGGCCCGCACAAGUCUGCGGUGAAAACCCCCGGCUUAACCGGGGGCCGGCCGUGGAAACUGUCGGGCUAGAGGCCGGGAGAGGGCAGCGGAAUUCCCGGUGUAGCGGUGAAAUGCGUAGAGAUCGGGAGGAACACCCGUGGCGAAGGCGACUUCCUGGCCUGUUCUUGACGCUGAGGCGCGAAAGCUAGGGGAGCAAACGGG